UAGGGAAUCUUCCGCAAUGGGCGAAAGCCUGACGGAGCAACGCCGCGUGAGUGAUGAAGGUCUUCGGAUCGUAAAACUCUGUUAUUAGGGAAGAACAAAUGUGUAAGUAACUAUGCACGUCUUGACGGUACCUAAUCAGAAAGCCACGGCUAACUACGUGCCAGCAGCCGCGGUAAUACGUAGGUGGCAAGCGUUAUCCGGAAUUAUUGGGCGUAAAGCGCGCGUAGGCGGUUUUUUAAGUCUGAUGUGAAAGCCCACGGCUCAACCGUGGAGGGUCAUUGGAAACUGGAUAACUUGAGGGCAGAAGAGGAAAGUGUAAUUCCAUGUGUGGCGGUGAAAUGCGCAGAGAUAUGGAGGAACACCAGUGGCGAAGGCGACUUUCUGGUCUGUAACUGACGCUGAUGUGCGAAAGCGUGGGGAUCAAACAGG
rnacentral:rRNA from 1 species